rnacentral:rRNA from 1 species
CCUACGGGAGGCAGCAGUGAGGAAUAUUGGUCAAUGGACGAGAGUCUGAACCAGCCAAGUAGCGUGAAGGAUGACUGCCCUAUGGGUUGUAAACUUCUUUUAUAUGGGAAUAAAAUGUUCCACGUGUGGGAUUUUGUAUGUACCAUAUGAAUAAGGAUCGGCUAACUCCGUGCCAGCAGCCGCGGUAAUACGGAGGAUCCGAGCGUUAUCCGGAUUUAUUGGGUUUAAAGGGAGCGUAGGUGGAUUGUUAAGUCAGUUGUGAAAGUUUGCGGCUCAACCGUAAAAUUGCAGUUGAAACUGGCAGUCUUGAGUACAGUAGAGGUGGGCGGAAUUCGUGGUGUAGCGGUGAAAUGCGUAGAUAUCACGAAGAACUCCGAUUGCGAAGGCAGUUCACUGGACUGCAACUGACACUGAGGCGCGAAAGUGUGGGUAUCAAACAGGAUUAGAUACCCGGGUAGUC